CAUACAGGUCGAGCAAGGAUGAAAAUCGGACUUAGUGAUCCGGUGGUUCUGCGUGGAAGGGCCAUCGCUCAACGGAUAAAAGCUACCCUGGGGAUAACAGGCUUAUCUCCCCCAAGAGUCCACAUCGACGGGGAGGUUUGGCACCUCGAUGUCGGCUCAUCACAUCCUGGGGCUGUAGUAGGUCCCAAGGGUUGGGCUGUUCGCCCAUUAAAGUGGUACGCGAGCUGGGUUCAGAACGUCGUGAGACAGUUCGGUCCCUAUCCGUCGCAGGCGUAGGAAAUUUGAGAAGACCUGUCCUUAGUACGAGAGGACCGGGAUGGACGUACCUCUGGUGUACCAGUUGUUCUGCCAAGGGCAUGGCUGGGUAGCUAUGUACGGAAUGGAUAAGCGCUGAAAGCAUCUAAGCGCGAAGCCAACUUCAAGAUAAGAUUUCCCACCGCAAGGGUAAGACCCCAGAAAGACUAUCUGGUUGAUAGGUCGAAGGUGUAAGUGCAGCAAUGUAUUUAGCUUAUCGAUACUAAUAGGUCGAGGACUUGACCAAU
rnacentral:rRNA from 1 species